rnacentral:rRNA from 1 species
AUUGAACGCUGGCGGCAGGCCUAACACAUGCAAGUCGAUCGGUAACAGGAAGAAGCUUGCUUCUUUGCUGACGAGUGGCGGACGGGUGAGUAAUGUCUGGGAAACUGCCUGAUGGAGGGGGAUAACUACUGGAAACGGUAGCUAAUACCGCAUAACGUCGCAAGACCAAAGAGGGGGACCUUCGGGCCUCUUGCCAUCGGAUGUGCCCAGAUGGGAUUAGCUAGUAGGUGGGGUAACGGCUCACCUAGGCGACGAUCCCUAGCUGGUCUGAGAGGAUGACCAGCCACACUGGAACUGAGACACGGUCCAGACUCCUACGGGAGGCAGCAGUGGGGAAUAUUGCACAAUGGGCGCAAGCCUGAUGCAGCCAUGCCGCGUGUAUGAAGAAGGCCUUCGGGUUGUAAAGUACUUUCAGCGGGGAGGAAGGGAGUAAAGUUAAUACCUUUGCUCAUUGACGUUACCCGCAGAAGAAGCACCGGCUAACUCCGUG